GAAUGUUGAAUACACAACAACUAUAUGAUAAUGAUGCAGGUAUGAUCGACGGUUUAAUUACCCAAGUUUGAGGUAAUUGAAUGUUUCGGCCCAGAGUUUAGGCUACUGUGGCUUGAAGUAAAAUUUUGGAACGUCCUGCAUAUUUGUGGGACAAUAAUAGAAUGUUGAAUACACAACAACUAUAUGAUAAUGAUGCAGGUAUGAUCGACGGUUUAAUUACCCAAGUUUGAGGUAAUUGAAUGUUUCGGCCCAGAGUUUAGGCUACUGUGGCUUGAAGUAAAAUUUUGGAACGUCCUGCAUAUUUGUGGGACAAUAAUA
rnacentral:misc_RNA from 1 species